GUACUGGUGUGCACACGAGGUGUUGCACUAGCCUAGCUGAUCUGAAGGAUCUGUGUAAAUCUAACACAGUGGGAAUCUUUCUCACAAAGUUGCAAGCCUGGUACUGUGAAGCAGUAAAUGAAGCUAACCUUAAACUGGCGUGUGCAAACCAGUAAGCUCUUGAGAAGUUUGCACUGGGGAUUGCUUGUGCAGUACCUGGCUUCUCAAAGAUGUUUGUUCCCAUAUCCUGUAAGAUAAGUAGAUGUGUUAAGUUUUGCCAGUUGUCCUUCCUGUGUGUUAAUCUGUUUAAGCCUUGUUAUUUUGCUUCCCAGAAACACUUAAUAUUGCUGAUUUUACCUAGGUUGGUGGUGUGUGUGUCCAAACAUGUUAGGAAUAUUUUUUCUAAUUCAGUUUUUAAAGGAUCACUUGAGUACGUAGAGAAGGAACUAAUCUUUUGUUCAGAUGCAAACAGCUGAGACAAUGGACAGACUGAGUGAAAAAGCAGCUUUUUGGCUAACGUUUUUCUAAGCAUAAGUGUUACAGUAAGCUUCUGAAAAGUAGUCAAGCAAACUGUAUUCCCCAGGAAGUUGGAAUACCCAGAUUAAUUACAGAAACCUGAUUUUUAUCAGAACCAGUCUCUAAAUGUUUCUAUAUUCAGUUUCUAAUUCUGGAAAGAAACAGAUUCCUUAGCUUAACUGGGCAGUCCCUCUGCAUUUCUGCACACUUUUUAACACAGACUUCCAGCUGCUGUUUAUGAAUUCUUUUGAGACUUUCCUUUCUUAGAGGGAUGACUGUAUGUGUGACUAUACAGCCUCUAUAUGUUGUGUAGACAACAACUUGACAGUUUUUAGACUUUCUGAUACUUCAGCCUCUGUGUUUGUAGUAAUAGGACACAGACUGUUAAAUAUAUUAACUGCUCGGUGUCCUUUGUAUAAGUAACUGAUUAUGUAGGAAGUAGAGGCAGUUAAAGGGGUUUGUUUUAUAUUACAAGCCAGUUAGUUGAAGAACAUGACUGUAAGCACUCCAGAUUCCAAGAGGGUCUGUCCUUACACCAGUGUCCUUGCCUUCAGUAGUAAGCAGUUUUGACAGAUGAAUACAUGAAACAGGUGAGUGUUGGACUCUGAGUUAUAGGUAUGUCCAGGAUUGUAAGUUGGAUACUAAAUCCAACUGAAAUUGGUCCAAGGUUUGUCAAAGGAACUUUCUCUGCAAUUUUUAACUUAAAUCCUGACAGUUCUCAGACACAGUUACAAUUUAUUAAGUUCUGUUGGGCUAACACGCUGGUUUAUGAAUUUCCUUAGCAUAAGCGUCUUCCUAUUUCCUCCUGCAUGAGCUGCUUACCUUCUUGUUUUGCUGUUUUUAUGGUGCAGUGUUGGGAUCUUAGUGAUUGCGAUACAUGCUGCAUUGUUGUUUCCUACUGGCUGAUGUGUGUUACAGGCUUUUCAGGUCUCUUUGUCCAGACUAGCUGGCUGUUGGCUGCAUCAUGCCCAAGAUCAUUUAAUUACGCAUUUCUGAAUUAAAAUCAUGUCCUCAUUUUGUUGUAAUUGUUGCUGGAAUUAAAAUGAAACCGAAGUGCUGAUUAAAGAUGGUAUCAGUAAAGCAGUUUAAUUGUGACUGAA